CAGCCAAUUCCUUAACUAUCCAGUAGUCUAUCCAUCAAAUCUAUACCUCUCAGUUGCAGAGAAAAUCAUACUGUGUGUCAAAGACAAGACAUAGUUCUAGAUAGAUAUGCCUUCAGAAAAAGAGAAUGGUACAAUCAAAAAAAAAAAUUACCAUUAUCUUGUAAUGUUUUUAGAGUUUCUAUUUUCCUGUGUUUUCUUGAUUACUAUAAUACUGUCUGUCUACAAAGAAACAAGAUAAUUAUACUACUAAGAGUUUUAAACUUAUCCUGGUUUCAGCUGAGACAAUGUUAAUAGCACGCCAAUGUUUUUGUUGUUGCUGUGUGAUGAGUGAUUGCCCAGGUCUAGUACAAACAGAAAUGGCCACAUCUAUUGUGACACAACAGAGGAUGUGAGGGGGGCAGAGUCAGGACAACCGGCCUGAAUUAGCCAAGGAGUUAUUCCAUCCAAAGUGACAUCAUGAAGAAGGCAAUAAUGCUGUAGGGAGUUAGCCAGGGGGCAGCCACUGCUCCAGGAUUACCUGGGCGCUGGUGAUUAGGUGAUGACACAUAGCAGGGUGUUGGUCAGUGAGCAAUUGUGUUGCUUACUGGGCAACACUCAAUGAAUGGUAUGGCAUGCAGCUUUUCUGCAUCCUGCAACACUAAGCUAUGGAAACAUGCUUUGUUCACAGUCAACUGAAAUGGUCCCUGAAGAUUGGUGGAAGACAUGUACCCAUCUACAAUAACAUCUGGAGAUCACGAUAUUUGCCUGGAGGGUACCUAGAAUACCUGAAGACACUGUGAGUGCUUAGGCAAUUGACUCAAGCUCUCAUUCUCCUCUGGACAUUACUUUUCAACAUAUUCAGUGAAGCUUCCUCGCAUGUUUUAUUCAUAUUCUUUUAAUACUCCUCUCUUCUGAGGAGUGAAGUAAACUAAAUUUUUCUUUUGAUGUAUACUUGCCCAUUCAUUUCCCUUAAUUCACCAUCUGAAAGAAUAAAAUCUUAAAUUUACACUUCAUCAAAUACACCAAGCACUGUCUACUGUGAGAGUGGCUGGGAUUUUCAAAGGAGUUACAAAGUGUAAAGUGCUUUAAUCCAAUUGGUGUUUAAUGGGUGUUUAGCAUAAAAAAAAAUCUGUUAAAACAGGAUCUAAACAAUCUUGUUUGAGCCUAUUAUGUUUGAAGCCAAUGAGUUGCUAUUAGUAUUUCAUUGUCUUCAAUUAAAUUUUUGCUAUGAUCAAAAGUGAUGAGUCCCUCUAUCUUUUGCUGUCAAGUAAAUGUUGUCAUCAAUUGUACCAUGGGAGCAAUACCAAAAUAUGAUUUUACCUAUAUUUAUGAUCACUUAAAAAAUUGACUUUUUCAAUCUUUCACCCAUGAGCAAUGUGUUUCUAAACUUCUGUAAAUACAUUGAAUGUAGUAAUGUACUAAGUGGAAAUAUAUGUUUUUAUGAAGAUGGAGGUUAGAAAUAGUCUGCGUUUAUAAUACUAUAUAUUUUGGAGAGGAAAUCUUACAUUGGAUUUGUUUUUCCUUAAGCCUUAUAUCAGCUGAUGUCUUAAAGUGAUACAUGAACAAUUGCUACUUCUGGAUUUCUUUCAGUUUGUUUCAUCUUUGUGCCACAACUUAUGUCAACUGUAACAAAUUUCUGCUUUUUUAAAUGUUCAGAAGAAAAUGUUUUUAAUGAGUACAGAUUGUACCAGUGAAAGCAGAAUAAA